rnacentral:lncRNA from 1 species
AAUUCCGCCUAGGGACGUCAUGGCGGGACCCACCGGUGACGUAGGCCCCCCUCCCCUCCUCUCCUUCCCCUCGCCUCUGGCGCGUUUAAUGCAAUCGGAGCUGGACCACCACCGUCCGUGGAGGUGGAGCCCGCUUCCUGACACCUCCCCCCCUCCUCCCCCUUCCUUUCGCUCGUUCUUCUCCCCCACCGAUACGCCAUAUCCAUCCGUGCCGUGAGGUGGCUCGCUCCCCUCCCUGAGUUGUUGUUACUGCUCCACGACGGCUCGCGCGCAUCGGCCACAGCCACAGCCACAGCCACCACCGAGCUCGCGAAAGAUCCCCGCGCGCUGCUGGGGCCUGGGGGGUGGGUUUGUCCUUACAUGGCCAGGCCGGGGGGUAGGAGCGGAAGCCCUCGCUCUCCCUCUCCUCCGGAUUGCCGCCGUUGCGUUGCUGCUGCUCACUUGUUGGAGCGCUGCUGCUCGAGGGAGGCGGAUCGUUGGUGGUAGAGGAGG